rnacentral:rRNA from 1 species
UGGGGAAUUUUGGACAAUGGGCGCAAGCCUGAUCCAGCAAUGCCGCGUGCAGGAUGAAGGCCUUCGGGUUGUAAACUGCUUUUGUACGGAGCGAAAAGGUCUGCCCUAAUACGGUGGGCUCAUGACGGUACCGUAAGAAUAAGCACCGGCUAACUACGUGCCAGCAGCCGCGGUAAUACGUAGGGUGCGAGCGUUAAUCGGAAUUACUGGGUGUAAAGCGUGCGCAGGCGGUUAUAUAAGACAGAGGUGAAAUCCCCGGGCUCAACCUGGGAACUGCCUUUGUGACUGCAUAGCUAGAGUACGGUAGAGGGGGAUGGAAUUCCGCGUGUAGCAGUGAAAUGCGUAGAUAUGCGGAGGAACACCGAUGGAGAAGGCAAUCCCCUGGGCCUGCACUGACGCUCAUGCACGAAAGCGUGGGGAGCAAACA